rnacentral:lncRNA from 1 species
UGUUAGGAAGUCAUGAGUCCGAUUACUAUACUCUUAUAAGUACGAUCGCCUUCAUACCCAUAAGUACUUUUGAUGAUAGAGCUUUCCGAAUCGUCGAUUUACACCAUUAAAUAUUAUCUAGAGCAUUUAGAACAUCUAGCAAUCAAAUUUUAUAAUUUUUCGACAUCAUUUUCCUUACGAUCAAAAGAUCACAAAAUUAAUAAUUUUUAACGGCCGGUAUGAAAUACUUGGUAGUUUAACGCUAUAAAAGAAUCGAAAUCGAUUGACUUUUUGAUACAAAAUUCUAUUCACUACAUAAAUAAAGAUCAAUAACUCCAAUCUUAAAUUGAAAGAUCCGAUCAUAUAUUUUUAAGACGCCGUUUGAUUUUGACCGUUCAUUUUAUACCCGCUUGAUGAACUUUAUUAUGAUUUCGAAAAAUUACGAAAUUUAUUUUUUAGAAAUUUCAGAGUCUAGAUCAUAUUUAACGAAGUGGAUCGUUGAUUUGGAAGCUCUAUCAUUAAAAACAACCUACGAGUAUGAAAUGCUCUAUAUU